rnacentral:rRNA from 1 species
UACGGGGGGAGCAAGCGUUGUUCGGAUUUACUGGGCGUAAAGGGCGCGUAGGCGGCGUGACAAGUCACUUGUGAAAUCUCCGGGCUUAACUCGGAGCGGUCAAGUGAUACUGUCGUGCUAGAGUGCGGAAGGGGCUACUGGAAUUCUCGGUGUAGCGGUGAAAUGCGUAGAUAUCGAGAGGAACACCUGCGGCGAAGGCGGGUAGCUGGGCCGACACUGACGCUGAUGCGCGAAGGCCAGGGGAGCGAACGGG